UACGAGGGGUCCUAGCGCUGCUCGGAAUCAUUGGGCGUAAAGCGGGUGUAGGCGGACAACCAAGUCAGAUGUGAAAGCCCCGGGCUCAACCCGGGAAGUGCAUUUGAAACUGGUUAUCUUGAGUGCAGUAGAGGAAGGUGGAAUUCCAAGUGUAGUGGUGAAAUACGUAGAUAUUUGGAGGAACAUCGGUGGCGAAGGCGACCUUCUGGACUGUUACUGACGCUGAGACCCGAAAGCGUGGGGAUCAAACGGG
rnacentral:misc_RNA from 1 species